rnacentral:rRNA from 1 species
GACGAACGCUGGCUACAGGCUUAACACAUGCAAGUCGAGGGGUCUCGAGGGAGCUUGCUCCCAAGAGACGACCGGCGCACGGGUGAGUAACGCGUAUCCAACCUGCCCUUCAUAUUGGGAUAGCCUUCCGAAAGGAAGAUUAAAUACCGAAUAACACAAGAAAGUUGCCUGAUUUUUUAUGAAAGCUCCGGCGAUGAAGGAUGGGGAUGCGUUCCAUUAGGUAGUAGGCCGGGGUAACGGCCCACCUAGCCUACGAUGGAUAGGGGUUCUGAGAGGAAGGUCCCCCACACUGGAACUGAGACACGGUCCAGACUCCUACGGGAGGCAGCAGU